UACGUAGGGUGCAAGCGUUGUCCGGAAUUAUUGGGCGUAAAGAGCUCGUAGGCGGUUUGUCGCGUCUGCUGUGAAAACCCGAGGCUCAACCUCGGCCUGCAGUGGUACGGCAGACUAGAGUGCGGUAGGGAGAUUGGAAUUCCUGGUGUAGCGGUGGAAUGCGCAGAUAUCAGGAGGAACACCAAUGGCGAAGGCAGAUCUCUGGCCGUAACUGACGCUGAGAGCGAAGCAUGGGAGCGAAUGG
rnacentral:rRNA from 1 species